GCCCGCCCACUCCCGAGCGUCGCGCGUACCACGUGACGCGAGUGAAAAGUUUGGGUCGGGAAGUUGGAGGAGAACCGUCCGGUCCCUGCCGGUCGUCAGAAAGCAUGCAGGAGGCUCGGGCCGGGCUGCUGCAGGCUUUCCACUUCCACAAAAAAAAAAAAAAAAAAAAACACACACCAAACCUGCCGUGCAGACUCAGAGCGGGAGAGAAAAACCCUCCAGAUCAGCUGACAACAGUGAGUUUGGCUGCAGCCGGAGGGAAAAGUGCAGCUCAGCAGGAAGGUGAAGAUGGGACAGAGGAAAACACAUGGACCAGGACAACACUGCAAAAUAGACUUCACUGUCUGACAGGACUGAUCCAUCAGGGAGGGUUGCCUGAGCACUGUAGGUCUGUUUUCAGCUCCAGCUCUACCUCGGUUACCCACAGUGACACCAUGGACCAGCCACAGCCUUCAAGGUCACCUCCACGGGAGCUGCCGAGCAAUGGGACACCACCAUCACUGCCUCUUCUCUCCAUCAUCUCCCAGUCGGGAAGGUUUUGUGAGAAUUUUUUUAGACAUUCAUAUUUUCACAUGUCCAGUUCAGCUGCAGUAAUGAUUUGUUUAAUUCAUUACAAACCGUGCAAAUGUUACCCGACCUUUUUCUGGUAGAAUACGGGACUCUAUAGGCCAACAUUAAGGGGCUAACUGAUGUAGCGAGAUGUGUAAUGGUUGUAGUUCUCAGUGGAAGGGUUUAUCUGCUAAAUCCCAGCAGUUGGCCCUGCUAUCGUGGACAUUGACCCUAAAUAAUGUCAACAGCUCAUUUCCACCAGAGCUGGGCCCAUGUGCUUGUGUGUGUGUGUUGGGGAUAGGGAGGCGUAUAUAAGCUGCUGGUGGUGCAGCUCAAAAGCAGGUUGAUGUGACUGAUACAAGGCCAUUUCUGCUCCACUCACCACAUUACGUCGGACAAAGCAGCGGCUCAAGAUUUGAUUUGAAGAUGCUGAGUCAAGGAAUUUUUUUCUGUUAAUCUGAGUUAAAUCUUCAUGUAUCUUACACCUGUUACUAAUGUUUAAACUUUA